rnacentral:rRNA from 1 species
UUCUUGCUGAAAACAACAAGGGUGCCGUACGGAAUUACGCCUUGUAUUUUUUAGGGAGAGGGCUUAAACAUCCCGGGAAUUUGGCCGGAUCAGUGGUGAAAUAUCUAGGGGAAACCCGGAUUAAUACCCCAUGGUACCGCAAGGUUAAAGGUGGCCAGCAAUGGCUGCCGCUGGAGGAUUGGUUCGCGCCCUAUCAGCUUGUUGGUGAGGUAACGGCUCACCAAGGCUACGACGGGUACCUGGUCUGAGAGGACGAUCAGGCACACUGGAACUGAGACACGGUCCAGACACCUACGGGUGGCAGCAGUCGAGAAUAAUUCACAAUGGACGAAAGUCUGAUGGUGCAACGCCGCGUGGAGGAUGACGGUCUUCGGAUUGUAAACUCCUGUCAUCUGGGAGAAAGACCUGGGAGUUAAUAGCUCACAGGGUUGAUAGUACCAGAAGAGGAAGGGACGGCUAACUUCGUGCCAGCAGCCGCGGUAAUACGAAGGUCCCAAGCGUUGUUCGGAAUCACUGGGCGUAAAGGGAGCGUAGGCGGCGCGGUAAGUCGGAUGUGAAAUCCCGAGGCUCAACCUCGGAACUGCAUCUGAUACUGCCGUGCUAGAGUAAUGGAGGGGUAGCUGGAUUCUCGGUGUAGCAGUUGAAUGCUUAGAUAUCGAGAGGAACACUCGUGCCGAAGCGAGCUACUGGCAUUUACUGCCCUGAGCUCGAAGCUAGGGAGCAAAGGAAUAGAUCCCCUUAGUCUAG